UACGGGGGGAGCAAGCGUUGUUCGGAUUUACUGGGCGUAAAGGGCGCGUAGGCGGCCACCGCAAGUCGACUGUGAAAUCUCCGGGCUUAACCCGGAACGGUCAGCCGAUACUGCGGGGCUAGAGUGCAGAAGGGGCAACUGGAAUUCUCGGUGUAGCGGUGAAAUGCGUAGAUAUCGAGAGGAACACCUGCGGCGAAGGCGGGUUGCUGGGCUGACACUGACGCUGAUGCGCGAAAGCGUGGGGAGCAAACAGG
rnacentral:rRNA from 1 species